GGCGCCCGCGCCGCCCGCCUUUGUCAGCGCCCGGAGCCGGCCGCGCCGCCGUCUCGCACCCCGUCAGCGCGCCCCCGCCCUGGGCUCAGCCCAUCUGUCUGCGCCGCGAGAUCCCCAGCGGCCGGGGCUGGGGGAGGGUCCCGCUCUCGGGCAGGGAGCCAGCACCCGCUCCACCCGGCCACCCCAUGUGUCAGAAGUGACCCCCCCGCCCCCCGCCCCCCGCCCAGGAGGCACGCGCACACACACACGCGGGGCCGCCCAAUUAAGCGGGGCAGUAAUAAUUAAGAAGGGGAAGGCAGGAUGCAUAGCAGCAGUUUGAGCAAUGGGGGCGGGGGGGUCCCCAGCAGGGUCCAGAAGAGAGGGGGUCGCUGCCACCCAUUCUGCACACCAGUCAUUUGUAGUACAUAUGAUCUUCAGGACAGCAUAGCUUGGUACAAAUUGUUGACCCCCGUGAUUUGAUGGCUCACUGGGAACUGCUGCUGCUGCUACUGCUCUCCUCACAAGAAAACAUCAAACCAUACACUGAUACAGGAGGAAAAGAUCAAAAUUCCAAGUUUGGACUCCUGCAGCAAGUGGAGCUUUUGAAAUCUGGUUUCUUCCACUCAGCACGACCCAUUUGAGAUCCAUCUAUGUUCCUGAGGAGGAAUUUGGAUGCUGGUUGGAAGAAGCAGCCACAGAAUGCUAUCAGUCAAGCUUAAUGGAACAUUCUGGUCAGAGCUUGGAGAACCUCAAUGCUGAUAGUAAUAUAGCCAGAAUAGACCAGACUUAAGAGUUUUCAGUUGGGAAGAUGGACUCCACUGAAGGUUGGAUUCCAGGUCAUGUGUGUUAUGCUCUGGGAGAAAACCUCUGUACAUUUUACUUAGGUCUUAGGUCUUGCAGGAGACAGAUGAAGAAUGAUGGAUUUUUCAAUCUGGUGGAAGAAAUUUCAAGGUAGACCAAAUUUCAGGCUGUGAUGUGGGUACUGCUGGAGAUUCCUGGCCAGAUUUAUACUGAAAAUCAAGAGCAAAGGGUACAGCUGAAUGAUUUGAAAGGUUUUUAGCUCAGUCAGAAAGGAAGCAACAGUAAAAUUGGGGCCUGCGAAGAUGGAGCAGAGGAAAGUUUGGUUGCUAAAAGACGCAUUAAAAAGAAGCCAAGCACUUUGUAUUGGCCGCUAGAAACGAUACCUUGAGGGUGUGAGAGGAAUCUGAAAGCCUGACCUUCUCAGACUGGGCAGUGCAAAAGUGAAAGACUUUGCUUUGAAAGAAAGCCCCAGGGCACUCUGAUGAGAGAGGCCAAUUUGAAUUGGCUUCCUGGGAUUCCUUUCACAGAGCUCAGCCAUCCAGGCACUUAAAGACCUUUGAGGCUGUGAUUCAAGGAGCCCUGGGCUGAGCAAGUGGCAGCCCUUGGUGUCAUUCACUUGACGCUGGUUUUACAGACAUGUGACAUUCAAGAGUUGGAGAGUCAGGGAGCCUUACCGAGCUUUCAGAAGAGGGUCCAGGAGGCCAGCAAGGUGCCCCUGAGAGGGCAAGGUGUGAAGCUGUGAGAGUGGAUCCAGAAGUAUUGUGGAGACCCCAGAAAGCUCAAGAAGCCAGGAAUGAGGCUCAUCUGAGAAGAGUUGCUAGGACUGAGCAAAUCCAGGCCAAGAGAGAAGCUGUAGAGGCUGCCGGCACCAGCAGUGCUACACGGGUGGAGCCAUCCAAGCCAUUUGGAUUGCACAUCAAGCAAUAGCUCACCCUGGAGGCCGGGCAUGGAAGCACAGGAUUUAAUGCUUGGUUUGCUGAGUUUUGGUCCAAUUAUAGUCUCUGUGGUGGAUUAACUAAGAAUCAAUGCAUAACGCCCAACUGAGCUGAAUCAAUGUAGUUCUUGAGUAGAAGACCUGCCUGAGGAUUGUUGCCAAUAGCAUUAAAGGGAGGCUUGUAAAAACAUCACUAUGUGCCUUAAUCUACUUUCUUCACUGGAUUUGGCAUUGUAUCACUCCUAGCUCUUUCCCAGAGUCAAAAUGAACAUGAAAGGCAAACACUUUGAAUCAACUCAGAAUAUCAAGGCAGUCCCAACACUGCAACUAAACAUACUUAUGAAAAGGACUUUCAAAAAUGCUUCAGAAGGUGGCAAGAAUGACAGGGCUUAAAAUAAAAUCAAACUGCUGCUCCCUGAGCCUGAACAAGACCUGAGAAUUCUACCUUGGAAGAUGCCACUGAAGCUCUCACUGGGCCAGCUCUUCAACCAGCAAAAAGAAACAAAGUAACCCAGUAAAGUGCUUCUCAAAGUCAUCAAAGAGAGAGCAAAAAAGUCCAAAAAUAUGUCAAAAGUUAUCACUGUUUCCCAGAAGCCUGAUGAAGCCCUUAUGUGAGUUAUAAAUACUGUGGACUCUGAAAAAUAAAUGCCCCUUCAGAUUAAAGGAUAAGGACUCUCAAAAGUUUCAGCCUAUGUUAAACAACAUCCCUUUUGGUAGUUUGACAGAUUCAGAUAGGCCAGACUUGGUUCCCUUCUUCUGUUGGGCCCUUAGGAGCACACAGUCCAUGUCUGUAUUUGGGGGCAAUUUAUGACUUUCAUCAUACACAAUGGGACAGAACUUUGUAAUUGUUUAAGGUCCCCUCUGUACAAAAAAGAUUACCAUCACCAGAGCAACUGGGACUCUCGAUUCUUGUCCCUUCUGCCAGGGACAAACUUAUGCAUGGGAAGAUAUUUCAGCAAACAUGAAUUCCUGUUACAAAAUCAGUCAGCCUCCCUCAUUUAACCCUGUGCUUUCCUAACUGUUCCUCAAGAGGAAGAAUGAUACCUGCAUCAGCCUAAGACAGAUAAUCACAAUCCUGAAAUUCUGAAAACUCUCCUCUCAGAGACAGGGGCCAAAGUUUUACCUCUGGGCCUGGCCAUCAACCAUGCUGCCAUAGUGAAUGUUAUGGAAAGUACAAACAGAGAUCCAGCCACACAUCAACUGCCUAAAGCAGUUUUGGAUCCUGAUAGACUGUCAACCCCAUUGGAAUAAUCUCCUCUUUGUGAAGAAGCUUUGUGAAGAAGCUCAAGGUGGUCAGUGCAAAAUCAACAACAUAGCCACCACCUUGCGCUCUGUGUUUCCCAACCCAUACACCCUUCUUGGACUCCAGAUGCCACCUAGUUCACAUGUCUAGAUUUAAAAGAUGGCUCUGCUUGCGGGUUACUCCCAUAAGCCAGUCCCUUUGCCUUUCACUGGACAGAUCCUGAGGAAGGAUCAAAAGGGCCAGCUUACUUGGACUCAUUUGCCACAAGAGUUUGGGAACUCUUCCACUAUUUUUGGGGAGGUUCUGGGAACAGAUUUGGCUACUGUGAGAUGUAUGCUUCUCUGUUUCUUUCAGCUUCAUCAUGGUCUCCCAAGCAAACAGUAUCCCAUGCCAUGACACACUUGACUAGGAAUUCAACCACAUAUUCAGAAGUGUCAGAAUCAUGGGAUGCUCAUAGACUGUCAAAUUGCUGAAAUGCAUCUCUCCUGCCUGAAAAGUUCAGGCUUUUUGAGCUUUUAGGAUUUGUAAGUUUCAGGCUUUCUGAGCUAUCAGUGUCACUGUGUUUGCUCUCCAUCCUGCAAUCUCAAACGUGUAUACUUUUCUCGGUCUUCUGCCUCCUACAGCCUACUGAUACACCUUCCUGGACCUAAUGAAUGCCUUCUUUUACCUUCGGUUGGCUCCUGCCAGUGCCUUUUCACCUUUAAGUGAGAAGACUCAAAUUCUGAACUCAAAGGUUGACUGACCUGAGCUCAACUUCCCAGAGGUUCAAAAACUUGUUUACCUUGCUAGUUUCCCAGUAAAAAAUAUCACUUCACUUUUGAUUAAUGACACCCCAGUUGCCUUCUAGAAAGACACAGAAACUCUGCUGCAAUAUCCAGCAGAAACUUGCUACAGGAUAUCCUGGGAAAAGAUACAAAUCUGCAAACAAAAAAUAAAAGGCCCUCUCUACAGCCCCAAUCUUGGAAAUUCCAGAUGUAACUAGAAUUCAACUUAUUUGCUGAUAAAUGAUGACAUGUGGCUUCAAAGAUACUUGCUCAGAUGUCAUACCCUGGGAUAUACCUGUACAACUACUUGGAUCUAAUCACUAAGGGCUACCCCCUAUGCCUCUGUGUUCUAAUGCUACCAUUUUCCUUUAAAAAAACCUGAGAAGCUCAUCUUAGAUUGAGAAUGUCUAGGUGCCACAUGCCAAACAGGAUCUCCUGAAUAACAGUGGCUUCAAUAGCCAAGUCAUUCAGUACCAAGGACUCUUAUGACCUGCCCACAAACCUGAGCCCACCAGACUAUGACUGCCUGACACUAACUGAUGAAUUGUUUUUGAUCCAACCAGACUUAAAAUGAACUCCCUGAUAGAUGCUGAGUACAGCCUGUUUACAAUGGCCAAAGGUAGAAGAAGACACAGAGUUCAAAAAGCUAUACUGUAGUGACCUUGAACAAAGUUGUUUUAGUUAAAGCUCUCUCAUAAGGAUGGUCUGCACAACAAACCCUGAAAAUGAAAGGGCCUACUACUUCCUGCUGCUGUCUGGAAACCUGCCCAAACAAUAAACCAUCCUGAGUCACAAAGAAAUAAGGCUUGACAUCCAAUGCCUGGCCAGCAUCUGCUCCACUGUCUGCCAAUGAUACCAAACCUGUGGUCAAAGCAAUCUAGUUCAGAGUCUAAAGCUCCCUCUGGGGAUCUAAUUGACUGAAACAUCACCCUUUAAAAACACUAAAGUAAAGCUUUAUGAGGACUACAAUUAUCUAUUGGUGCUUAUAUGCAUCUACUCAGGCUGGCUCAAGAUAUUCCCUACCCACACUGAGAAGACAACAGAAAUUUGCAAAGUCUGCUGUAAAAAUCACCCCUAGCCUACCCUUGACCACUGGAAGCGACAGCAGGCCUUCAUUUGUAGCAGAGAUAACUCGAAACUGGCAGAGCUAUACGACAUUGUUAUGGUUGAUAUAUCGGGUCAUCUUGAGGAGUCUAAAAGCUGUACGACAUUAUUAUGGUUGAUAUAUUGGGUCAUCUUGAGAAGUCUAAAAGCUGAACUAAAUAUCUCAGCAGUUCUACAUCCUGGGUUGUAGAGGACGUACCUUUACUACUCCAGGAUGUUGUUUAUUAUUUCAAUAUGAGAAGUUUAGAAGUUUAGCUGACUUAGCAGCGGACCAGGGCUCUCACUUUGUAAACAUUUUGAGCCUCUGAAAGAGGAGGGCAAGGAGAGGAUGUGAGCACUACGCCCGCUGUGUGUGUGUGUGUGUGUGUGUGUGUGUGUGUGUGUGUGUGUGUAUGUGUGUGUGUGUGUGUGUGUGUGUGUGUGUGUGUGUGUAGCCUGAUUACAAUAUAAGGGAGGAAAACAAGCUUGCUCUUCCCUCUUUUACUCUUGCUAUUUUUGUUGCCUUGAAGUGUUGCCCUGUGUCAUGCCACUCUACCUUGGAGCCAGAUGCUUAUAGACUAAAACCUCUACAAACUGUGAAUUAAACACACCUUUCCAUGCUUAAUUUUGGAUGCUGGGUAUUUUGUUUCAGCAAUUAAAGAAAGAAAAGUAACUAAGAUAGAAUAUGGUACCAAGAAUGGGGUCAUGGCUGUGACUAUACUUGACUAUGUGGUUCUCAAGCCUUUGCGAUUGGCUUGUGGGAAACAUUUAAAAAGGUUCAGAGACGUUGCCUAAAAGAGUAGUGCUGAAAUACUGUUUUGUAUGUAAAAUUAUGGUUAGAGCUCAAAAUACCAGAGGGCUGAUAAAAAUCCUGCUGGUAAGACCAGGUUCAGGAGGUUUCUGAUGGGAAAAAAAAGACUACCUUGACUGUUAGAGUCCGAUGCUGUAUGUCUACAUUUUGUUCAUGUGCAGAGACUUUGGUUGAGACUGUGAGUAAGGAUGGUGGACUAAUUAAUCUGACAAAAAUUUCCAGUCAGUUAAAUGUAAGGCUGUGGCAUGACUAUUGUUGGGGGCCUUUAACCAGAUCUAUGUUAAAAGUCAAAUACAAGGAGCACAGCAGGACAAUUUAAAAUGUGAGUUUGGCCAGACAAAAAAGCUCCAAUAGAGCUAUAGAUUACAAAGAUAGAGCUGAGGAGAUCUCCAUAGCUAAAAAAAACAAAACAAAACACAGCAAAACCCCCUAGAAAUAUAAAAAAGAUGGCCUGAGGGCAUCACAGAAAGCAGCCAAUCUUUACCCUUUGCAGCCUCAAAACUGCAAAAGUGAAAGACUUUGCUUUAAAAAACUCACAGGGCACAAUGUUUCAAAGUGGUAGUAGCACAAAAAAUUUGUUUCUCAAAAAUUAGCUUCAGAAAUCCAGCACUUGACCCCUAUAGCCAAGAGACAGAAAAGCCUGGUUACUGUUUCAGCUGACAGCAGACCUUUACAUCAUCCACAUGGUGCUGGUUUUAGGUACAUACAACAGAGAACAGUUGUGGGGUUAAAAAGGCUUCCAUUCCAAUUUCAGGAGGCUAGGGGCCAGGCAGUGUAGCCUUGAGAGGGCAAUGUAUAAAACUGUGAAGGUAAGGUCAAAGAUACUGUGAAAAACCCAAAAGUUGAAAAAACCAAGCAUAUAGAUCAUCUAAAAAUAUCUACAAAGGAAAAACAGAGUGGGUCUAGGAUAAAAGCUGUGAGAGUUAGAACCACCAAAAAUGCCAUAGCAAAAGAGCCAUGCAAGCUCUUUAGAACUGAUAACUUGUCACAGACUGUCUUAAAUCCUACACAGGAAACUAUAACACUUAAUGUUUGACUUGCUGGAUUUUAGACUUGCUUUAGUCCCGACCCUUUUUUCCUCCUAUUUAUAACUUUUUGAAUAAAAAUGUUUAUCUUGUGCAAUUAAAUUUUUAAAAAGUGUUUAAUUUUGUUUUUAUUUAUGUAAGGGCUUGAAGCUAAGAGUUUGUCUUACAUCUUGAAAAAAUUGAGACAGACUUCAGCAAUACCAAAACUGCUAUAUCCUUGGCAACUGUUAGAGAAGAGACUAAAGGGAUAUACACAAAGGCAAGAGUCUUGGGUGGGAUAGACAUAAAAUGUUGGUUCUAAAAUAAUACAAUGAUGACAGACUUACUACUUGUUGUGGUGGAUUGACAGCUGAUGGUCAACUUAACAAUCAGAUGAACCGAAUCAGUGUGGUGCUGAGUGUGGGUGGCCCACUAGAGGAUUGUUGCCAACAUAACAAGGAGAACUGGAGAGGAAGUAGUGUUGUUGGUUGUCUGUGGUGUUGUUGGUUCUCCUGGUGCCAUUGGUUUUCCUGGAGGAGCUUGUGGAGCUUCUUUCCUGAUAAGAACUUGGGUGUUCUCAUCAAUAGUGGAGUUUGGGACCUGGUUAUCACUGAGAAUAGCUGUGGUUCACUUUGGGGGAGCUCUGGUCCUUACUUGAGCAUUGCUUCUGGCUCUCCAGGAAAAACUGCCAUGCCAGCUCCCUGAUCUGAAGUCAGCUGUUCUUAUCAUCAGAGGAACUCAGGACCUCUUUAUCACUGAGGAUGGCUGUGGUACUUUUCAGGGGAGCCCUGGUCCUUACUUUGAGUAUCACUUCCUGCCUCCAGUGCAGAACCCUCAACCUACUGGGACAGAUCCUUUAUCUUGCUGGUACAGAACUUCUGGCUUUCACUUUUGGGCCUUCCCAAUGCAGAUCCAUGGAACAGACUUGCAUGAGACAUUGUCAUGGGCUCUAGGUCUUCAAUUGGGCUCAUUCAGGAUGUUGCUGUGGGAUCCAGACCCUUGGUUGGAAUUUUUUGGGUCUGUAGUGUGUGGAUAGAUUUCUUGCACUUUUUGUGUUUGACUCUUUGGGUGACUAUUAUAAAACAAUACUAUAAAUUAUGUGUCCUAUAUUAAAUUGUUUUCACAAACUCUGACUACAACACUGGUUUUUAAGAAUUGUCAAACCUAUGCUACAAUG